UUUUAUACUAACUAACUAGGA
rnacentral:snRNA from 1 species